GUCAACAUCCUUAACGAAUGUAAUCACGUUCUAACCUGUUGAACGUUAUCUUAGAUGACCGUAAGCACGCUUUCGGCACCUGAGCAACUUUCAGAGGCCAGACGGAUAGCCCAAAGGGUAUUCGUUGCAAUCCUCAGUCUCAAUCACCACAUCUACCAGAGGCUAUAACACUUCAACCGAAAUCGAAGCUACAUUCCGCCGGUCAUUUUAUGAUAAUCGAAACUGACGUUGGCCUACCAUACGAAAAAGUACACCCAAAACGCACAAACAUGCAAACAGCGAGGCCGAAACUCACGCACGCCCACAAGUUCGCACACGAUAGGUUGAUUUCUCGUCGGUACGACUGACUUCAAUCGUUUCCCUUUCAA
rnacentral:rRNA from 1 species